GGGGAAUUAGUUUAGUGGGAAAACAUCGGUUUUGCAAACCGGAAUCGAGAGUUCGACUCUCUCAUUCUCCA
rnacentral:tRNA from 1 species